rnacentral:rRNA from 1 species
GAUCAUGGCUCAGGAUGAACGCUAGCUACAGGCUUAACACAUGCAAGUCGAGGGGAAACGAUAUUGGAAGCUUGCUUCCGAUAGGCGUCGACCGGCGCACGGGUGAGUAACGCGUGGGUAACCUGCCUCACACAGGGGGAUAACAGUUAGAAAUGACUGCUAAUACCGCAUAACCCGAUAGGAUCGCAUGAUCCAGACGGAAAAGAUUUAUCGGUGUGAGAUGGACCCGCGU